rnacentral:rRNA from 1 species
GCCCUUGGGUCCGGCAUAACCCCGGAAAACUUGGAAUAAUUCCGGAAUAACGCACAUAUGCUGGAAUGCUUUAUGCGUAAAAUGAAUUCGUCUGCCCAAGGAUGGGUCUGCGGCCUAUCAGGUAGUAGUGGGUGUAAUGUACCUACUAGCCUACAACGGGUACGGGUUGUGAGAGCAAGAGCCCGAAGAUGGAUUCUGAGACAUGAAUCCAGGCCCUACGGGGCGCAGCAGGCGCGAAAACUUUACAAUGCGGGAAACCGUGAUAAGGGGACACCGAGUGCUAGCAUCAUAUGCUGGCUGUCCAGGUGUGUAAAAUACACCUGUUAGCAAGGGCCGGGCAAGACCGGUGCCAGCCGCCGCGGUAACACCGGCGGCCCGAGUGGUGAUCGUGAUUAUUGGGUCUAAAGGGUCCGUAGCCGGUUUGGUCAGUCCUCCGGGAAAUCUGAUAGCUCAACUAUUAGGCUUUCGGGGGAUACUGCCAGACUUGGAACCGGGAGAGGUAAGAGGUACUACAGGGGUAGGAGUGAAAUCUUGUAAUCCCUGUGGGACCACCUGUGGCGAAGGCGUCUUACCAGAACGGGUUCGACGGUGAGGGACGAAAGCUGGUGGCACGAACCGGAUUAGAUACCCGGGUAGUCCCAGCCGUAAACGAUGCUCGCUAGGUGUCAGGCAUGGCGCGACCGUGUCUGGUGCCGCAGGGAAGCCGUGAAGCGAGCCACCUGGGAAGUACGGCCGCAAGGCU